rnacentral:rRNA from 1 species
AACGAACGCUGGCGGCAUGCUUAAUACAUGCAAGUCGAACGAGAUCUUCGGACCUAGUGGCGCACGGGUGCGUAACGCGUGGGAAUUUGCCCUUGGGUACGGAACAACUUCUGGAAACGGAACCUAAUACCGGAUGAUGUCGUAACUCCAAAGAUCUAGCGCUCAAGGAUGAGCCCGCGAAGGAUUCGGUAGUUGUGAGGUAAAGGCUCACCAAUCCGACGAUCCUUAGCUGGUCUGAUAAGAUGAUCAGCCACACUGGGACUGAGACACAGCCCAGACUGCGACGGAGGGCAGCAGUAGGGAGUAUUAGGCGAUGAGCGAAAACCUGGUCCAGCAGUGCCGCGUGAGUGAUGAAGGCGUUAGGGUUGUAAAGCUCUUUUACCCGGGAUGUGAAUGACAGUACCGGGAGAAUAAGCUCCGGCUAACUCCGUG